GGCCGUGUGCCUUAAUGGAAGGCAUAAGUCUCAUAAGCUUAGUCAGAUGGUUCGAAUCCAUUCACGGCCU
rnacentral:tRNA from 1 species